AGGCAUUAAGUAAGCCUUACUAGUAAAAUGCAGGAUGUGAUCAUACAACUGGACCUUCAGAGCUUUCGUUUAGCUGAGGAAUCUGCAAUAGGAGUGUCUGUAUGACUUGUGUGAUGAGUUACAAAGUGUGCACGUAGAAAGUUAGUGCUUCUUCAGUAUGGAGCAGACACCAAUUGUAUAAGGUAACUUAGUAGAACAGAACUGCUUGACAUCUUUUUAAGAUUAAAAAAACCCAGCUAAUUCCCAAUAUGCCACCCAUCUGCCCCCGCCCCCAUGCACACUGCCCUACAUUUUGACCUGUGGGUUAAUAGGGCUCACAUUCUGGCAUUAUCGCACGUUAAGCUCAUAAAUGUUUUGCUAAGCUGUGGGCCAGAGCAAAUGUCUCAGGAUCUGUGAUCUGUGCUCACUGAUGUCAUCCGAGUGUAUUGGUGCUCUGCUCGUAAGGACUGUCCCACUCUUGAUCCACUCUAAUUGCCAUCACGUCAGCACAUGCAUCAAGCCUGGUAUGGUCUGACGGCAAAGGGGAAUUUAACACCAGAAGGCAGAGCUCCCAUAAUCCCUGCAAAUUCCCAACACCUAAACCCCCAUUUGCGUCGGUGACUUGGCUUUGUUGUCAUCCCAUGAAGAGCCGACAGACGAUAAAUACAGCUUCAAGGGCCACAGCAUUUCAGACUGCCAGGCGGCCCAGAGGGUGUGCAUGUCUACAUCUUUUCCAGCACCUUCCACUGUGAUUGUUGCUGGAGCUGUGUGCACGCCUUUCACGGCAGCUUCUCUGAAGUUUUUCAAUGAUUGAUUGUUAAAGUUGUGGUAAGACAGAGGUUGUUUGGUACUGAAACCUUUGCAAAGGUGUCGAUAUGGAGCAAAGUGAUUCAAGCCUAUAUUCAAAGGCCUGCCUUCUGAAAGACUGUAAACUGUUUUACCGCAGUGAAAAGGCAAUGGAUCCAGGACAAUGUCAUCUUUCCAAGAGCAAGUCCCGGCGGUUAACAGCACGAAGACGUUCAAAUAGUAUGAGCAUGUGCAUCUUGCCAAGUAUCCCGGAAUAUCCAGGCUUCCAGGAUAUCAAGCAGAGGAAUUACUCCAGAGCUUCCAAUUUUGUGCUGCAGGACCUGGGAAGAAAAAGAUCUGAAAACCUUCUAAGACUGGUGGAUCAAAACAGAAACCUGGGACACUCUACAGAUCAUUUUACUAACCGGCAGUGCAAAACGAAGAGUAGCUUUUGUGACAAAACUUUGCAAGAAUAUUACAAUGAGAAGCUCAUGGAGCUUAGAAACUAUGAAACCAACAAGGCAAACGGCAAGACAAAAGGCUAUGUUGACGAGAACCAGAGCCCAAAUUCUUUCAGCCAGGGAUUGAGGCGGAGAAGCAGCUGUAGUGCCUUGAUACAGGCCAGUCACCUGAAGCUGACUGAAGACACCAGUGAUGCUGCAGAUCAAGUCAACGAAGGCAUGACAAUGAGCAGUGACCACCAAGGCACUGACCAGAACUGUUGUGAGAGGACCUAUCUGGAAAGUUUGGCCAUGAGCAUCAAUACUCCUCUACAGAUGCUUGUGCAGCUGAAAUAAAAAUUGGCACUUGCAGAAGACACAAAGAACAGUUCCUAGAAACGGACAGACAGAUGAUUCAAAAGCGGUGUCUUACUCAUAAGGUCUGGAGAACUUUGAACACAUUUGUGUGAAUAGGACAUUUGCUAUGUUGCAUUUUACAUUAAAUACACGGACAGUGUGUGCUUGCAUAAUCUGCCACAAUGAGACAAUGUUAAUCCAUAUGCUGGAACAAUUUACAUAGAAUAUAUAGUUCAGGCUCUAUUCUGUGUCUUUUCCUAAUUCAGCUAUGUUUUUAAUCCUAAUAAUACACUGCAAAGAGUUUUAUCUAAUUUCAUCUAGGUCCAAAUUAUUGUGUUUCUUGGUUUACCUUGGGAAAGUAUAUGUAUUUUAGGGAGCUGCUUUUCCAUAGGUACUGCUUUCAUUAGAUAGCAAUAAGCUCUGAAAGUCCUAAUUGAAAACAUUGGAAAUGUGCCCCGUUUUUCAAAGGUCAAAACAAUAUUUGAAACAAUAUUCAGAUUUGCAGUCUGAAUGUUAAAUAUUUGUCACAGAAUUCAAAACAAACAUGUUUUAGCCUUGUUGACAUAUCUUGGCAGGAUUUAGCUUAAUUUGUUAAAUUGUAAGCGAUCACAUACUGUAUGUAUUAAUACCAAUCAGAGGCUGGCAGAAUAUCAUAUCACAUGUACCUGUUACUUACAAAUUAUGUAUUUCUCUUUACACACCCAAAAUGUCUUUAAAUAUAUAUUUACUUUCUUUUGCAUAAAUGAAAACAGUCAUUCAUUUCCCAGGGGCAAAUAAAUGCCAUCACAUUUUACA
rnacentral:lncRNA from 1 species